CUCACCCUCUUACUCACGAUUCACGCUCUCACCCUCUCACACUCUCACUAGGUCUGGCCGUCAUCACGGCACGGCACACCACCACCAUGCCACGCCACGCCACGCCACCAUCGUCCACCAGUCCAGCCGCCCCUCUGCGGCUCUACCCUAGGUCUGGUUGAUUUCCCGAAACUUAAAUCUAAGUGUUUUUGUUCUCUCGCCCAACGUACCCAUCGCGCCGUUCGCCGCGCCUCUCAGGACUCAUCGCUGUGCCGCGCCUCCGAGGCUCCGCCGCGCCAUGCCAGACUUCCAGGACCCAUCGCUGUGCCUCGUCUUUCCGCGCCUCCUAACACCCACCGGCCACCGCCUUGUGUCGCGCCUCCUGACACCCACCGCCUUGUUGCGCCACUCUCCUCUUUUCACUCAGCUAACGCUCUUCUCUAGCUCACCCGUCCUCUGCUUUCCACGUUUGGCAUUGAGAAUUGUUUAGUAUUCAAUUUUCAAAACUCUCAGCUAGUAAUCAUGGAAGCCCCAUUAUGAACAAGUGGUUGCUGUUUCAAAAUCCCUUACGAUUUAAGUUUCGCAAUUUAUGAUCCAAUUUUUAAUUGUUCUGUUCACAAUUUCUGAUUUGAUUUUUACUUGUUUAAUUAUCAUGCAUCUCAUACAGUUUUUGCUGCUUUUCAGGCAUCAUUUGGUGAAGAAACUUUAAGAUUUGUCCAUCAUUCAGGAACUAUAAGUGACAUUCUUGUGGAAGAUGGAAAACCUCAGCCCCCAUUUGUGAUUGAACCAUAGAGAUUUGAAGUUGAGCUUCCACUUUGUAAUCUGAUUGAGUUGUAUAAUUUUUGUUUUUCUUACUCAUAUCCUUCAGUAUUUUGAACUUUCGGUGUUUUACUUUCAUGUAAAAGAUCCCAUAAAACUUGAUCAUUAUAUAGUUCCAUUGAUGCUUUGUAUUCCACUAUUCAUCCCGAGAAAGAGUGUAUGUUAGUUCCAUUGAUGCUUAGUGUUCCUCCUA